rnacentral:rRNA from 1 species
ACGCACGCUGGCGGUGUGCUUCACACAUGCCAGUCGCACGGUAAGGCCCUUUCGGGGGUACACGAGUGGCGAACGGGUGAGUAACACGUGAGUAACCUGCCCUCAUCUCUGGGAUAACAGUCGGAAACGGUUGCUAAUACUGGAUAUGAGCCUGCAAGGCAUCUUGUGGGUUGGAAAGAUUUUUUGGUUGGGGAUGGACUCGCGGCCUAUCAGCUUGUUGGUGAGGUAGUGGCUCACCAAGGCUUCGACGGGUAGCCGGCCUGAGAGGGCGACCGGCCACAUUGGGACUGAGAUACGGCCCAAACUCCUACGGGAGGCAGCAGUGGGGAAUAUUGCACAAUGGACGGAAGUCUGAUGCAGCAACGCCGCGUGCGGGAUGACGGCCUUCGGGUUGUAAACCGCUUUCAAUUGUGACGAAGCUUUUUGUGACGGUAGCAGUAGAAGAAGCACCGGCUAACUACGUG